rnacentral:rRNA from 9 species
AAAACUUUCAACAACGGAUCUCUUGGUUCUGGCAUCGAUGAAGAACGCAGCGAAAUGCGAUAAGUAAUGUGAAUUGCAGAAUUCCGUGAAUCAUCGAAUCUUUGAACGCACAUUGCGCCCGCCAGUAUUCUGGCGGGCAUGCCUGUUCGAGCGUCAUUU